rnacentral:lncRNA from 1 species
CUCCAUCAGGCAUCCAGGCUGAUCCCUGUGUUUGCCUCAGCACAAACUGUCAAAAACUUCAGACCCUCGUUGACCCAGGCACCAUUUUACCCUUUAAUUCAGAAACAAAGUGCUGCUUCGCACAGGCAACCUCUCAUGUUCACAAUCACUUUUUCAAUUUUUGCAAUGCACAUGAACACACACGUUUCUGUUAAAAAUCAAUAGAUUCCAAUUGGUGCGGGCUUUGAUUUUUUUUUUUUUUUUUGGAACAGGUUAUUGGUUGCUGUCUGACCUAAGCUCUUAUAAAGUAACCCAAUACUCUGCCCCUCCAGAACAAACCCAGCAAAUGCUCCCUGCUGAGGAGCAGCAGUGAGUCCUUAGCAGGCUGCUCCCCAUCUGGAUAGGCUGUUAUUGGGGUGACUCAGGAGCUGCUUCACAAAAUGCAGGAAACGUUUCCCAUCUUUAUCCUGAUUGCAUCUGAACUAUUGGAUUUAUCUGGUGCCUCCAGAGACGAGCCCCACAUCAGUGGAGCACCAGGCCUGGGCUCUGCUGGGGGAGCCCAGCUGAGAGCCGAGAGCAGCCCGGUGCCCAGCGAGGAGCAACCCGUUACAGGAGCUGACUCGGAGGAGGUGACCUUCCACUUCCAGACUGCAGCAGUUGAUCCUACCAGUGAAAUGACAGCUGACUUCAUUGCUGUCCACACAGAGAGAGCUCCAAGAGCAACAGCCACGCUGCCUAAGGAGGUGGUUAGGAACUUGGAGGGGUCUGAUCGACUGCCUGCUUUAAAACUCCAGGAUGGAGAUGCAUUUCCUAACAAUCUCCUGAGUAAUGUAAGUGUCCCCUCCUCUGCACAAGGACCACAGGCCACCACCCAUCCAGAGCAGUCAGAGAGGUCAGUGCCAGGCAGAGCUCAAACUGUCCCCGAGGCUGCCCUCAGCCCGACCAGCAGUGCUGGGCUGCCCCAGCCCACUCCCACUGUGGGGGUGCACCAAGACUCUCGGGGGGUUGCAGCCAUCUCUCCCAUUCCUAUUCUCAAGCAGAGGGAGGUGCCAAGUCCUAAAAUUUCUCUUCUGACUUCAACGGUAAAUUUCCAUCCUCCAAGAAAAGAGACAGCAGCAUAUCCGUUUCCCACCAGUGUUAGGAUGGCUCUUGUAAAUGCAGGGGUGGGCCAGUUACCAGCACUAGCACCCCCCACUACAAAAAGGCCAAAGGAUGCAAGUCCCCAAGUCCAGCCUGACAGCAGAGCUGCUGUGACACCUGCAUACGUCAAGAGUGUAGAUGCUCAACUUACUACUUCUGUAAUCGCACAAAAGCCAGCUUCGGUCGGCCUUGAUGCAGCCUAUUUCAGAGUCAUGAAAACAACUGCUGUUCAGUUUCCCCCUCUUUUAUCUCUUAACCAAGAACCAGCAGGCAGUGAAGACAGAAACUCAGUAACAGCUGUAAUAAAGGGCUCUAGACACUCAACUGUGUUGCCUGCUCUUCAGCAGCUCCUGCAAGGCACUGGGCACUCUUCUUCAUUACCAAUGCAUCCUGAAGCUCUAGGUCAUGAUGAUUUGAUUCCACCUCCAUUUCAAGGGGCUGUCAAUGUAGCUGGUAGACCACAGCCUCUCCUGUUGUCCCGGACUCUCAACUGUACUAAGCACCAUGCUUCACAUGACACUAACAGGAGCACUCAGGAAAGCACAGUCCUAGUUUUACAAAGAGAUGCUGAUCACCAGAUGAUGACAAGUAAGCCUGAAAAAUCCACAUCCUCUGAGAGCCCCCGGGCUUCUUCUAAUUCACCUUCACUAGGGCAGUCACAAAUCGCCAUGGUAAACCUCUCCCAAACUACCAGAGAGCUAAAAGGAGCCACGUUUCCACCCCUUCCAAGUGCAUCUACCUUGGAGAAGGCAGCCCUUCCACCUUUAAGCACUCCUGCUGCUGUUCACGCAGCAAUUCCGCCACGAGCUACAUCUGUUCCUCCUUAUGCUGGAUUGCAGCCGAUGGGUGUCCCCACCUCUGCUGCGAGAGGACUCCACGUACUGACUUCAACUGCUGGUUCUGGGUCUCAGGUUCAAGGUGUUUCAGCCCAUCCUGGACCUCAGGAAGCAUUUGCUGCGAUGCCACAGAUGAGCACAGUGGAAGAUUCCAAGGGACAGAAAAGUCUUCCACAUCGGAUAGAUAAGGCUGGUUCUCCACUGACUCCACAAGCCAGCGUGGUCUCCAGCCCCUCUGGACUGCAUGAGGAGAACCAGAAAGCUUCUCGUGACAGCUCUGCCCCUUCAGCCUCCACGAUCCAGCAUGCUGGCAGCCUGGAAGCUUUUGUUGCCAGCUUGCACCCACCCCACGCACAGGAAAGCCAGUCCAGCACAACAACAGCACGUCCUGAGCCGGCAGUGCCCGUUGUUUCUCAGAUCCCAGCACAUCUGGCCCAAGCACUGCUGCAGCAGUUUGGUGCAUCGCAUGAUGCAGCUACCAAAAACCUCAGCAUUUUCAGAACUGAUCACCCCAAAAUGUUCCCAUCAUCUCUGUAUUUGUCCUUUCUGCUUAAGAAUACUGAUGGCAUGAUAUGCCUGCUUCCCAUGCAAGAGUCCCCUUUGCCUGCAAGUUUCCCUAAUAUCAGUGUUGGGACUCUGGUUUCUGUUCAGCAAAUCCUGGCAGCAUCAAAUUCUUCAUUAGUAGAUCUUGCAAACUUGCAAAAUGGAAGUCCUUCUAGCUUAAUUCUGGUUAAGCCUGUUUUUAUCCUUUUUCCCACGGACAGAGCAGACUUACAGAUGGUGCCCUCUCCUCAGGGUGAAGAUGACCACAGAAGUGCCCUCUUAUUCACAAACAAGCAAGGUCUGACCAUGGUUACCAAUGGACACAGCCGUGAUAUCCCAGAGAAAACCAGCUCCUCGUAUCCCACUAGUGAGUCUCUGAGACCUCAGACUGCUCUCUCCACUGCUCCUGACCAGCGAGCAGAGAAAGCAAAAGCAACUUCUCAGCCAGUGCUGACUACUGCGAGUUACGUGGCCAACCCUAGUUCCUUUCAAGCCACUGCCCCAGCAGCAGAUCACUUUCUGGACCUGCAGCUGAGGAUGAGCAUAGCAGCACAGGCUGCUCACCCGCAGGAGAUGCCUGAGGGGCUGCAGGCAGCGCCUGCCCCUUCCCUGGGGGCUGAGGAGCCUUCCCCUGGUGGUACGGCAACCAAGCCUCCUGCCCCCCCAAGGCAACCAGUACUGGUGCCUGCACAGCAUAGCCCUACAGCCCCCACAGGGUUUUUAAAAGCUGAAAAGCCUCUUUCUUCUUCUCUAACCCCUUUGCUGUCAGCAGUGGGGCUCACUGCUCUUCCGAUGCCAGCUCAGCCUCCAUUUACUGUCGCAGGGUCUGGGGAUCAGGGGCAGCGCGGUGUGGGACUGGCGCUACAGAGCACCACCCGUGGCCAGGGCUCAGUGAGCCCAUCUUCCUCUGCCCCAGUGCAGUGCACAGAGUGUUUGAGCUCAGCUGGAACUGUAAAAUAUCCAUUAAAGAUGUCCCCAAGCAUUGUGCCUUUGCCGUCCAUGUCACAAAGUCAGCCAAGCACCGAGUCACUCCAAAGGCUGCCGUCACAAGUUGCAUUUGUACCCAGCACCGUGUCGGCUUUCUCAGCAUUUCUAGCUGGAAAUGAUGGCAGAAGCUCAGCAGCGGACAGCACUGCUUCUUCUGGAGUCACUUUGCAUGCUAAAGCAGCAUCAGUCCCCCCCACCUCUAUAAAACCUGAUCUCACCACGCACUUGGAAUUUAUUACCAUCAUGCCCAAGCCCAUGGUCAGGAUGGAGACCCCAACAGCAGUACCAGCACGCACCAUGCAGUCAGCGAAGGUCAAAACAGCAGCUUCUGGGAAACUGCUGGUGACCAGCACCCCCCCAGAGAUGUACAGCACGUCCCCCGUGAGCCUGCCCUCACCGGUGUCUGUGCGAGUUCCCCUGCCAUCCGCUGCGAAACGUGACCAAAGCAGUCAAGCACCUUCUGCAUUGUCCUCACCAGCCAGUCUGGGAGAAAAUGGGAAACCAACCGAAGGCACAAGCCCAAGAAAACGGGGAUUCUUGGGAACCAGCACGUCCCUGCCGGCCGUGUUUAGCACAAAGGCAGAGCAGCCCCCUGCAGCAGCUCUUGGCAGCCAGACUGGUGUAGCUCCAGCACAGCCGUCUGCGGCUGCAGAGCCUGUGAUUGCUCUCGAGAGUGAGCCUAAAUUAACACAGACCACCUCGCCAUCUCCAUUAGCGGUGACUUCUCUCUCUGCAGCUAAGAAUGAUUAUAUCACCACUUCAGUUACCCCAAAAAAAGUGUUUUUCCUGCCAACAUCAGCUCUCCAAUCUGACCCAAAGGUGGUGUUUCCUACAAUGGCUGUAAUGAACAGCUCAGCUAAGGUCCCUGCAUCAGGGACAAAGAGUGAGGAUGUGUUUCUGGAAGGGGACACGGCCACUGCCAGCCAGGAGCUCAGCCAAGCAGCCACGUCCUCAGCACCUCAGGCCCGGGAGGAGAAGGUGCCCAGGGAAGCCCGCAUGGAGCAGGACGCUGCUGGGCAGCCCACGGGGCCAUCUACAGCAAAAUCACUUUCUGUACCUGCGAGUAAGGUUACCAGUGAGCCAGCUGCCUCCAAUAAAGCAGCUGAUGAUGAUGCUGAGACGCUCCUAACCAGAGACCUGAGACCACUGCCUCCUACCACAGAGAGCCCCUUGCGUCCUGCGGGGGCCAUGGCAGCACGCACAGCGGUGAGCGAUCCCCAGCUGGGUGCCACGGGCACGGAGGCCGAGGAGGAUGCCGAGGAGGAGGCCGGACCACACUGGGUGACCCACAGAGCCCCCACAGGCUCAGAACCUGCCCUUACACCCCUGGGUUCGGAGCUGAGUGACUCCCGGCAGAGGAGGGUUCUGCAGCAGGACGGUGCCGUUCUCAGCGGGUAAUUGUCACGGCGAGUUGGUGUUCAGGCUGAGUGAUUUACGGGGUGUGGGGGGGUCAAUAGCCAAAUUGCUCCAUGAGCUCAGCAUCACGGGUAUGAUGUAUUGUUGUUUCCAAAGCAUUCAGUUCAUUCUGCAGUGACCUCACAGCUUACAGGAAAAAAUCUUUUCCUGUUUCAGAUAUUAAUGCUGUCCUUUGGACCUCACUUUCUUUUUCACAGUAGCCUUUGACUCUCUGCCUCUCCUCCCAAAACAAUUCUACGUGCAGAUUCACAAGUGGGAGCAUCUGCUAGCACUGUUUGCACACUGAGCUCACCGAUCUGCUUGGUUCCACCGAGGGACCUGAUCUUAAUGCAGAGCCGGGCUGGGCUUCAGCUUGUUUCCUUCUUUCCCUGCAGGAUCGCAGUUGUCAGCGAUGAGGCCUGCGGCUCUGGCAACUACACGGUGCAGAUGAGCCUGCGCCCUGUGGCAGAAGCGAGCCCGGAGCUGCAGGGCUCAGCGCUUCCCCAGGACACCUUCCUGGCCUCCCUGGCCAUGCGGAGCAGCAGCAGCCAGCCCGUGCUGCGGGUCCGCUCCUGCUGCGUGACACCCUCCAGCAGCCCGGGGGGCCCCGGCGCCGUGUGCUGCCUCCUCCCCAGGUACGGCAUGGGGAUGGCCUGGGGACACCCCUCUGCUCCUGUCCCAGGGCUUCAGCCCAGUCUCUUUGGUGCUGAGUGAGAUGAAAGUGGUGAGAAUGAACCCAGGAGUGCUCUGCUCCCCUCGCUGUCAGCACCAAGGGCUCCGUGAGGCAUGGGGCUCUCCUCCCUUCACCUGUUAUUUUAUGCAAUGAGCUUUUUUUUUUAUGCACUUCCACAUGAUGUUCACGGCUAUUGCUGCCUGGGUUGAGCACAGGGGUGUUGGAGGAUUCAUUGGUUCAUGUUUAUAAAGCCACCAGGGCAUGAAAUGUGUGCUGCAAGUGCUACAUGUCAUUGCCAUCAGUAAAAAGGGAUUUCAGAUUUACCUGUACUGGAUAAGGGGAGGUCACCUCUACACUGCCUCUGGAGAUGUCUGGAUCAGGGAAGGGUCAUCACAUCACAGCAGCCUUUGCAAUGGUUUAGCACGAUAACCCUCCAAGAAACAGUUCUGCUAUUCCAGGGUGCUGCCCUCCACAGCAGGUACACGUCCAGGCUGGGGUGCUGAGGUCUGCUGGAUUUCUCUUUGACUCUGCCUGCAGCUACAGACACCUGCCCCAGACCUUGUGCAGAGCAGUGCCAGCACAUCUCCCUCCUCACUGCCCUUACACAGGGAGUGCUGGAAGUUGAAGCUGCUUCCAUUUGUCCUUGCCAGGCUGCUACCUGAAUGCAGACACAUCCAGCUGCUGCAGAGCAGUGAGCCCAGAGCUGCCAGCUUCACCAUCCAGCUGUUCCAGAUGCUGAAUCACUCGGUGGCUUAUUUGCACUGCGAGCUCAGUGUGUGUCUGCACGGCAAACCGGGCUGUGAACAGGUACGUGGGCAGGGUCCGCCCUCACUGGCCUCAGGAUCUUUUGGAAAGAUUUGGUGCUUCCAGCAAGUGCAGUCGAUGUAAAGAGCCUUGAAGGAAGGCUAUAAAGCUCCAGAAAUAAUUUAUCUUUGCCUUGAGUAAUCCAGAUGAGAAGUAUAUUAACAAGCAAGUUAAUCACUAGGGAAAAGGAAUUAUGGACUAGAUACUGACACGGGGCCAGGUCCAAGCAUUGGGCGAAUCAUCCUUGGAGCAGCAGCAGAGCUGGAUGGAGCCCGAGCACAGGGGAUGGCUCCAGCUGCUGGGACAGAGCAGAGCCACUGGUGCAGGGUUUGGGAUGCCACAUUUGGGACAUGUUCAGAGCCUUCCACCUAUCUUCCCCAGGGCUGCAUUGACAGUGUGGAGCCGCUUCCCCAGCCAGGUGACAGGAACAGCCCUGGGCAGCUGCGCAACCUGAUCUCGUUUGGUCCAGUUCUGCGACUCAAGGACAGGUUUCUCUAUAAGCCUGUGCAAGGUGGGUCCCUGAUUUGCAUCCCUCUCUGGCUCUCUUGCAGAAGUCUCUGCUCAGUGUGACUGCCUGCUGUAAGAAAAAUGACAGCGGAAUAAGGCUGGUCACCAGUCGGGAGCAUUUUCAUUUUCUUUCUAUCCACAGAUGAAAUACAGCAGCUGGUUUAGUUAAUCAGAUGUUGUCCAGCAGUUAGAAAGGGGAGAGAGUCAAUCCAGCCUGUCAUGAGCAUGACAGACUACUUAAAUCACUGGCACCAUCUCUGAGAGUCACUUAACUUUUGUGUCUGAUGUUCUUAUGCAAAGAGUAUUUACUGUGAGAUCUGAAGGCAAAGUGUGUUAGAAGGGGAACUACCCGUCCAGGCUGCUCUGUGGUAGAAACAGCCCUACAUGCUUGAUGUGCUAUAAGGAUGAGGUUUUAGCCUCCUCUUUCUUCUUACUUAUCUCCUUAACGCUGUUCACAGCUCGAUUACUUUAUUUCCAGGUCCCGAUUCUGCCGUGCUGGUGCCCAUUCUGCUGGGGUCCCUGACUGGCUUUGCUGUCCUGGGCAGUGCUUUCAUCAGCCUUUGGCUGCAUCACAGACAGAAAACCAAAAGCUCAGGUUGUCCACGGUUUGGAGAAAUCCGUGGCCUGUGAACUAGGAGCAGCUGACUUCUGCAGAUCCCACAGCACAGCUACAAUGAUCAGAAAAGCGACUGAUUCUGCAUUGCACACUGUAUUGCUUUGUAGAGCUUCUGCAGACCCAGGGCGCAAGCUCUCCAGCCUCUGCCUUAAGCGCAUCUCUCCUGCCUUUCUUCCCUUCAUUGUGAGCUGAUCCACAAGCUGCAGCAUAGAGAGGGCUGUAGGAGCAGCUCAGCUAAAAGGGAGAGCAGAGCUCACAAUGCCAUAUGUGCAAGCACCAGCACGCAGUCUGUUCACAGAAAUGGAAAAGUUGUCAGGGUGCAGGGAUCUACCUAAAAUAAAGCACUAGACUAGAGCCA